rnacentral:rRNA from 2 species
AAAUGACUCUCGGCAACGGAUAUCCCGGCUCUCGCAUCGAUGAAGAACGCAGCGAAAUGCGAUACUUGGUGUGAAUUGCAGAAUCCCGUGAACCAUCGAGUCUUUGAACGCAAGUUGCGCCCGAAGCCAUUAGGCCUAGGGCACGUCUGCCUGGGUGUCACGC